GCGGCAGGCCUAACACAUGCAAGUCGAGCGGAUGAGAAAAGCUUGCUUUUUGAUUCAGCGGCGGACGGGUGAGUAACACGUGGGAACGUGCCUUUAGGUUCGGAAUAGCUCCUGGAAACGGGUGGUAAUGCCGAAUGUGCCCUUCGGGGGAAAGAUUUAUCGCCUUUAGAGCGGCCCGCGUCUGAUUAGCUAGUUGGUGAGGUAAUGGCUCACCAAGGCGACGAUCAGUAGCUGGUCUGAGAGGAUGACCAGCCACAUUGGGACUGAGACACGGCCCAAACUCCUACGGGAGGCAGCAGUGGGGAAUCUUGCGCAAUGGGCGAAAGCCUGACGCAGCCAUGCCGCGUGGAUGAUGAAGGUCUUAGGAUUGUAAAAUCCUUUCACCGGUGAAGAUAAUGACUGUAGCCGGAGAAGAAGCCCCGGCUAACUUCGUGCCAGCCGCCGCCGUAACAC
rnacentral:rRNA from 1 species